rnacentral:rRNA from 1 species
AUGAGCGCUGUUUCUGAAUCUGAGCGUCAACGGGACAAGACGACAAAGCGAUGUGGAUGCAAGGUGAAGCUGCGAUUAAAGGGGAAUGAGCAUGAUGAUACAGUAGUCAUUGUCGACAUCAAUUUUGAGCACAACCACCAACUAAUACAGAGCCAUACCAUGCUUGUGUUUCUUCAUUCCCACAAGUCAUUUGACCCCACUAUAUUGUAUUAUGUUAAGUUCCUCCAGUUCCAGAAUGUUCAGCACCAUACCAUGAUGUCUAUCCUAUAUGGAUCCCUCGGUGGCGGUCGGUUCUUGGCGUUGCACGGACGCGAUUUAAUCAACAGGAAGCUUCUUAACUCUAAGGAAGAUAGCAUCGAUGACGUCAAGAAGCUGUUGGGAUUCUUUGCUGAGAUGAAAGCAGUAAAUAAUGAAUUCUUCUUCGACUUCCAAAUUGAACAUCUUCUGGGCUAAUGCAAGCUACAAGGGCGCGAUGCGAUGACAUUUGACACCACUUAUAAGACAAAUCAGUACCUUAUGCCUUUGGGAGUAUUCGUAGGAGUAAACAAUCAUCUCCAGUCAACAAUAUUCGCGUGUGCCCUUGUAAGGGAUGAAUGUGAAGAAUCUUUUGCUUGGCUAUUCAGAACCUUCUUGGCAUGCAACAAUGGGAAGCAACCUACAAUAAUUUUAACAGACGAGUGCCCUUCGAUGACCCCUGCGACAAAACAAGUUUUCACCAGGUCCCUACACAAGUUUUGCUGAUGGCAUAUAACAAACAAGUACACCUCGCAUAUUUCAUACUUGUACAACUUGCACCCCACUUUGAAGGCUGAGUUUGAGGCAAACAUAAAUUGGCCCCUGAUGCCAAUUGAAUUUGAGACAGCUUGGCACCAGCUAAUUGAUAAAUACAAGCUUCAUGAUGAUCACAUGAUUCUGCACAUGUGGGCAGACAGGAAGGAAUGGAUAUCGGCUUACUUCAAAGAGGUUUUCUCUGCAAGGAUGACUUCAACUCAACGAAGUGAAAGUAUGAACUACAUACUCAAGAAAGGAUUUAUCAAACAGGACCAAAACCUGCACCGAUUUGGUGAGCAAGUAAACAACUGCAUAUUUUCAAGGAGGCAAGUUGAAAAUGCAUAG